rnacentral:rRNA from 1 species
ACGGCCAUACCAUGCUGAACAUACCAGUUCUCGUUAGAUCACCGAAGUCAAGCAUCAUUGGGCGCGGUCAGUACUUGGGUGGGUGACCACCUGGGAACACCGCGUGCCGUU